rnacentral:lncRNA from 1 species
AAACAAAAAACUUUUAUUAGUGCAAACGCAUCAUCCUCAGGCACAGGUACACAAAAUUGUUUAGGAAAGGUCCAAUGUAUGCAAUUGAGAAUACACUGGAUAUUAAGGAUGAAAUACACUAUGUGGAAGAUUUGCUAGCAGAGGUACCAAUAGAUUUCCUGGAAAAAGAAAAGUUAAGGUGGGAGUAUGUAAGAGAAAAAGCCAAGAUUAGAGAAAGUAGGAAUAAGAGAAGCUUAAAUAAGCAGGACUUAUAUCUACUUAAAAAACUAAGUGAUGAAUGAGAGACUAUAGCAUUAUAAUCACAAGAGAAGAUAAAACUAAAAAGAUGGCGCUAAUCAGAGAAGAGGAAUACAAGCAUUACUUACAAGAAUACAUCGAAGAUUUGGGUCCUACACUCUUAAAGAAAGAUCCUACCCAGAAUUUGCGGUUAGAGGUCAGUAAACUAUGUAAGGCUAAAGAUUUUCCUGAGAUUUGGAGACACUACCCCGUGAAAGCACCUACAUGCACGCGUCUUUUCGCAUACAUGAAAACACAUAAGAACCCACCACGAUUAGACCAAUUGUAGAGAAGAUUAACAGCCCUUCAUACCGCCUUGAAAAGAAAAUAGCAUCCUGGGCAAUCACCUUGCUUGGCCGGGCCGAUGCAUCGACCGCCGUCGCGGUUCGGGCGUUGCGGAGAC